rnacentral:pre_miRNA from 1 species
AUCACCCAGGAAUCUUGUUAAAAUGCACGUUCCGAUUCAGCAGGUCUGGGGUGGGGUCUGAGGUUCUGCAUUUCUCGUAAGAUCCCAGGUGAUGCUGC